CCCGCCCUAGCUCAAUGGUAGAGCGCUCGGCUGUAGACCGAGAGGUUCCCGGUUCGAAUCCGGGGGGCGGGA
rnacentral:tRNA from 1 species